rnacentral:rRNA from 1 species
GAUGAACGCUGGCGGCGUGCCUAAUACAUGCAAGUCGAGCGAACGGACGAGAAGCUUGCUUUUCUGAUGUUAGCGGCGGACGGGUGAGUAACACGUGGAUAACCUACCUAUAAGACUGGUAUAACUUCGGGAAACCGGAGCUUAUCCCGGAUAAUCUUUUGAACCGCAUGGUUCAAUAGUGAAAUUCGGUCUUGCUGUCUCUUCUAGCUGCUUCUGCGCUGCAUUAGCUAGUUGGUAAGGUAACUGCUUACCACGGCAACGAUGCAUAGCCGACCGGAGAGGGGGAUAGGCGACAUGGGAACGGGAACAGGGACAAGAGGCCUACGGGAGGCAGCAGUAGGGAAUGUUACGCAAUGGGGGAAAGCAUGACGGAGCAAGGGGGCGUGAGAGAUGAAGGUCUUGGGAUCGGAAAACUCGGUUAGGAGGGAAGAACAGAUGUGGAAGGAACUGAGGAGAGCGUGACGGUAACGAAUAAGAAAGCAACGGCUAACUACGUG